GGUCCCUAUCUGCCGUGGGCGCUGGAGAACUGAGGGGGGCUGCUCCUAGUACGAGAGGACCGGAGUGGACGCAUCACUGGUGUUCGGGUUGUCAUGCCAAUGGCACUGCCCGGUAGCUAAAUGCGGAAGAGAUAAGUGCUGAAAGCAUCUAAGCACGAAACUUGCCCCGAGAUGAGUUCUCCCUGACCCUUUAAGGGUCCUGAAGGAACGUUGAAGACGACGACGUUGAUAGGCCGGGUGUGUAAGCGCAGCGAUGCGUUGAGCUAACCGGUACUAAUGAACCGUGAGGCUUAACCUU
rnacentral:rRNA from 1 species